UCUUUAGCCUCUUCCCUGGCUUGGCUGC
rnacentral:piRNA from 1 species